rnacentral:lncRNA from 1 species
GAGGGGGACGGGAGAGAGGGAGAGAGGGAAAGAAGGACAUGGAAACUUACCGUGAAAUUUUCGCUGUUUAUAGCUUUCUUGGGGAAGAAAACACAUGCACAAAUCCUGGUGUAAGGAAUAUUUUAAGCAUAUAUCUUCAAUAUCAUUCAUCCAGGACCGAGCAAGACCAACACUCUUCCUCCUCCUCUGCCUACUCAAUGUGAAGACAAUGAGGAUGAACACCUUUAUGAUGCUCCACUUCCACUUAUUGAAUAGUGCUACACAUGAAACUUGUAACCAGUUACUACAGGCGAAAGCAAAUCCAUGUCUUCAGGCUGGUGUCAUCAGGGAGAGAAGCUUUGGUUUCCACAUAAGGAUAUAAGAUCAUUGAUGUAAAACAAGACAUGUAACCUCUCAAAUUGAGAGAAUGUAUUGGAGAUCUAUUGUUGACCAUGUUUUCCCCUGUAUCUCACCUUCCCCUCUCCAAGACUUC